GCAUUGAAAGGCCUUACUGUCAGAAAGAUACCUUGGAGUAGGAAAUGGCAACCCACUGCAGUAUUCUUGCCUGGGAAAUUUCACGGACAGAGGAGCCUGGCGGGCUACAGUCCAUGGGGUUGGCUGCAACUGAGUGAGCACGCAUGCACAGGACUUCUCUGGUGACUCAAACAGUAAGGAAUCUGCCUGCAAUGAAGGUGACCCAGAUUCUAUCCCUGGAUCCUGACAAUCCCCUGGAGAAGGGAAUGGCAACCCACUCCAGUAUUCUUGCCUGGAGAAUUCCAUGGACAGAGGAGCCUGGUGGGCUAUAGUCCAUGGGGUCACAAAAAGUCAGAAACAACUGAGCCACUAACACACGCGCGCGCACACACACACACACACACACGCACGCGCGCGCGCGCGCACAUUCCAUU